AACGAACGCUGGCGGCAUGCCUAACACAUGCAAGUCGAACGAGAUCUUCGGGUCUAGUGGCGCACGGGUGCGUAACGCGUGGGAAUCUGCCCUUUGGUUCGGAAUAACAGUUGGAAACGACUGCCAAUACCGGAUGAUGACGAAAGUCCAAAGAUUUAUCGCCAGAGGAUGAGCCCGCGUAGGAUUAGCUAGUUGGUGUGGUAAAGGCGCAUCAAGGCGACGAUCCUUAGCUGGUCUGAGAGGAUGAUCAGCCACACUGGGACUGAGACACGGCCCAGACUCCUACGGGAGGCAGCAGUGGGGAAUAUUGGACAAUGGGCGAAAGCCUGAUCCAGCAAUGCCGCGUGAGUGAUGAAGGCCUUAGGGUUGUAAAGCUCUUUUACCCGGGAUGAUAAUGACAGUACCGGGAGAAUAAGCUCCGGCUAACUCCGUGCCAGCAGCCGCCGUAA
rnacentral:rRNA from 1 species